UUGUCCAUUCUCUUAGUUUUAGACGUUCAUAUUUUGACGUCAUUUUUUUUUACAAAGUCUUAAAUGGCACUAUUGAGGACAGUUUUCUUCUUAGUCAAAUUAAUUUAUCUGUUCCCACUUUUAACUCUAGAAACCGGCCAACCUUUCACAUUACUCAACACAAAACACUUUACAGUUAUUUUUCCCCUGUCGAUAGAGCAUUAGUCGCCUGUAAUAACUUUCAAAAUUAUUUUGAUAUUUUUCAUUCC